rnacentral:rRNA from 1 species
UACGUAGGGUGCAAGCGUUGUCCGGAAUUAUUGGGCGUAAAGAGCUCGUAGGCGGUUCGUCGCGUCGGCUGUGAAAACCUGAGGCUCAACCUCAGGCCUGCAGUCGAUACGGGCGGACUUGAGUACUGCAGGGGAGACUGGAAUUCCUGGUGUAGCGGUGAAAUGCGCAGAUAUCAGGAGGAACACCGGUGGCGAAGGCGGGUCUCUGGGCAGUAACUGACGC